CCGGCACGGGUGAGUAACACGUAUCCAACCUGCCGUCUACUCUUGGCCAGCCUUCUGAAAGGAAGAUUAAUCCAGGAUGGCAUCAUGAGUUCACAUGUCCGCAUGAUUAAAGGUAUUUUCCGGUAGACGAUGGGGAUGCGUUCCAUUAGAUAGUAGGCGGGGUAACGGCCCACUUAGUCAACGAUGGAUAGGGGUUCUGAGAGGAAGGUCCCCCACAUUGGAACUGAGACACGGUCCAA
rnacentral:rRNA from 1 species